CUAAAAUUUCUUUAAUACAUGUACAGCAUUGAAAGAAGAACUUGGCAAUUAUUGCGCUUACAACUAUUAUUGCAACAUCAGCAUGAUUGGAGCAUGGAUAUUGCGAAUUAUCGAAGAAAGCAUUGUGUCUCUAACUGCUGCUCGAGGAACAUUAGGAUAUAUUGCUCCAGAAUUAUUCUACAAGAACAUUGGAG